GAUGAACGCUGGCGGCGUGCCUAAUACAUGCAAGUCGAGCGAACAGACGAGGAGCUUGCUCCUCUGACGUUAGCGGCGGACGGGUGAGUAACACGUGGAUAACCUACCUAUAAGACUGGGAUAACUUCGGGAAACCGGAGCUAAUACCGGAUAAUAUAUUGAACCGCAUGGUUCAAUAGUGAAAGACGGUUUUGCUGUCACUUAUAGAUGGAUCCGCGCCGCAUUAGCUAGUUGGUAAGGUAACGGCUUACCAAGGCAACGAUGCGUAGCCGACCUGAGAGGAGGAGCAGCCACAGGGGAACAGAGAGACGGGCGAGACAAGGAGGGGAGGCAGAAGGGGGGAAUAGUGGAAAAGGGGCGAAAGCCGGAUAAAGAAAAAACGGUGGGAUGAAGAAGGACUGAGGGACGUAAAGAGCUGGGGGUGGGAAAGAAAAGAAGCAGGGGAAUAACGAGAGGUUAGGAAGGGACCAAAAGAAGAAGCAACGGCUAACUGGGGG
rnacentral:rRNA from 1 species